UGCAGUCGUACGAGAGUUUUUAACUCAAGUGGCGGACGGGUGAGUAACACGUAAGAAUUUGCCUUUAGGAGGGGGAUAACAACUGGAAACGGUUGCUAAUACCCCAUAUGCUUUCGAGUGAAAUGGAGUUUUCCGCCUAAAGAGAAGCUUGCGGCUGAUUAGCUUGUUGGUAAGGUAAUGGCUUACCAAGGCGACGAUCAGUAUCUGGUUUGAGAGGACGAUCAGACACACUGGAACUGAGACACGGUCCAGACUCCUACGGGAGGCAGCAGUGGGGAAUUUUCCGCAAUGGGCGAAAGCCUGACGGAGCAAUACCGCGUGAGGGAUGACGGCCUAUGGGUUGUAAACCUCUUUUUUCAGGGAGGAAAAAAAUGACGUUACCUGAAGAAUAAGCAUCGGCUAACUCCGUGCCAGCAGCCGCGGUAAGACGGGGGAUGCAAGUGUUAUCCGGAAUCACUGGGCGUAAAGCGUCUGUAGGUGGUUUAAUAAGUCAACUGUUAAAUCUUGAGGCUUAACUUCAAAACCGCAGUCGAAACUAUUAGACUAGAGUAUAGUAGGGGUAAAGGGAAUUUCCAGUGGAGCGGUGAAAUGCGUAGAGAUUGGAAAGAACACCGAUGGCGAAGGCACUUUACUGGGCUAUUACUAACACUGAGAGACGAAAGCUAGGGUAGCAAAUGGGAUUAGAUACCCCAGUAGUCCUAGCUGUAAACAAUGGAUACUAGAUGUUGAACAGAUCGACCUGUGCAGUAUCAAAGCUAACGCGUUAAGUAUCCCGCCUGGGAAGUAUGCUCGCA
rnacentral:rRNA from 1 species